rnacentral:misc_RNA from 1 species
GAUGAAGAACGUAGCGAAAUGCGAUAAGUAAUGUGAAUUGCAGAAUUCAGUGAAUCAUCGAAUCUUUGAACGCACAUUGCGCCCUUUGGUAUUCCGAAGGGCAUGCCUGUUCGAGCGUCAUUAUAACCACUCAAGCUCUCGCUUGGUAUUGGGGUUCGCGGUCUCGCGGCCCCUAAAAUCAGUGGCGGUGCCUGUCGGCUCUACGCGUAGUAAUACUCCUCGCGAUUGAGUCCGGUAGGUGACUUGCCAGCAACCCCCAAAUUUUUCAGGUUGACCUCGGAUCAGGUAGGGAUACCCGCUGAACUUAAGCAUAUCAAUAAGCGGAGGA